rnacentral:tRNA from 1 species
UUCCUUGUAGCUUAGUGGUAGAGUAUUGGUGUGUAAAACCAGAGGCCCGGGUUCGAUUCCCGACUAGGGAA